CCCUUAGAUGUCUUGGGCCGCACGCGUGCUACACUGACGCAUACAGCGAGCACUUUCCAGUUCCGAGAGGCUACUGGUAAUCAUCAAUAUGCGUCGUGAUGGGGAUAGAUCUUUGGAAUUCUGGAUCUUGAACGAGGAAUGCCUAGUAAUCGCAGGUCAUUAGCCUGCGAUGAUUAAGUCCCUGCCCUUUGUACACACCGCCCGUCGCUACUACCGAUUUCGAGUGGUCAGGUGAAUCUUUCGGACUGUGGGCGCCCUUGAGGUGUUCGCGGAAAGUCAGGUAAAUCUUAUCACUUAGAGGAAGUAAAAGUCGUAACA
rnacentral:rRNA from 1 species